rnacentral:tRNA from 1 species
GGAGUUGUAGCUCAGGGGUAGAGCGCUUGCCUUGCAUGUAUGAGGCACUGGGUUUGAUCCUCGGCACCA